GACGAACGCUGGCGGCGUGCUUAACACAUGCAAGUCGAACGGAAAGGCCCUGCUUUUGUGGGGUGCUCGAGGUGCGAACGGGUGAGUAACACGUGAGUAACCUGCCCUUGACUUUGGGAUAACUUCAGGAAACUGGGGCUAAUACCGGCUAGGAGCUCCUGCUGCUUGGUGGGGGUUGGAAAGUUUCGGCGGUUGGGGGUGGACUCGCGGCGUAUCAGCUUGUUGGUGGGGUAGUGGCUUACCAAGGCUUUGACGGGUAGCCGGGCUGCGAGGGUGACCGGACACGUUAGGACUGAGAUGAGGCACAGACUACUACGGGAGGCAGCAGAGGGGAAGAUUGCACAAGGGGCGGAAGGCUGAUGUAGCAAAGCAGUGUGGGGGAAGACGGCCUGCGGGUUGGGAAGCGCUUUCGCCUGUGACGAAGCGUGAGUGACGGUAAUGGGUAAAGAAGCACCGGCUAACUACGUG
rnacentral:rRNA from 1 species